AACAAACGCUGGCGGCGUGCCUAAUACAUGCAAGUCGAACGGGGAAAGCUUUCGGGUGAGUACUAGUGGCGCACGGGUGAGUAACGCGUGGAUAAUCUGCCUUAGAGUGGGGGAUAACUAGUCGAAAGAUUAGCUAAUACCGCAUAAGACCACAGGAGCUGCGGCUCAAGGGGUCAAAGGUUUUUCGCUUUAAGAUGAGUCCGCGUAAGAUUAGCUAGUUGGUGAGGUAACGGCUCACCAAGGCGACGAUCUUUAACUGGUCUGAGAGGAUGAUCAGUCACACUGGAACUGAGACACGGUCCAGACUCCUACGGGAGGCAGCAGUAGGGAAUAUUGCACAAUGGAGGAAACUCUGAUGCAGCGACGCCGCGUGAGUGAUGAAGGCCUUCGGGUCGUAAAGCUCUGUCGCAGGGGAAUAACACAAUGAAGGUACCCUGUAAGAAAGGAUCGGCUAACUUCGUGCCAGCAGCCGCCGUAAGAC
rnacentral:rRNA from 1 species